rnacentral:rRNA from 1 species
AUACGUAGGGGACGAGCGUUGUCCGGAAUUACUGGGCGUAAAGGGCGCGCAGGCGGAUAUUUAAGUCAGCUGUAAAAGGCAUGAGCUCAACUCAUGUAUGCGGUUGAAACUGGGUAUCUAGAGUGCUGGAGAGGUAGGCGGAAUUCCCGGUGAAGCGGGGAAAUGCGUAGAUAUCGGGAAGAACACCAGUGGCGAAGGCGGCUUACUGGCCAGCAACUGACGCUGAGGCGCGAAAGCCAGGGGAGCGAACGGGAUUAGAUACCCCGGUAGUCCUGGCCGUAAACGAUGAAUGCUAGGUGUGGGUGUCGAGAGGCAUCCGUGCCGGAGUUAACGCGAUAAGCAUUCCGCCUGGGGAGUACGAUCGCAAGAUUGAAACUCAAAGGAAUUGGCGGGG